rnacentral:rRNA from 1 species
CCUACGGGUGGCAGCAGUAGGGAAUCUUUCACAAUGGGCGAAAGCCUGAUGGAGCAACGCCGCGUGCAGGAUGAAGGCCUUCGGGUUGUAAACUGCUUUUAUAAGCGAGAAAUAUGAUGGUAACUUAUGAAUAAGGAACGGCUAACUACGAGCCAGCAGCCGCGGUCAUACGUAGGAUCCGAGCAUUAUCCGGGGUGACUGGGUGUAAAGAGUUGCGUAGGUGGCAUGAUAAGUAGCUAGUGGAAUCUGGUGGCUCAACCAUUCAGACUAUUAGCUAAACUGUUAAGCUCGAGACCGUUAGAGGGAACUGGAAUUACAAGUGUAGGGGUGAAAUCCGUAGAUAUUAGUAGGAACACCAGUGGCGUAGGCAGGUUACUGGGACUGUUCUGACACUAAGGCACGAAAGCGUAGGGAGCAAACGGGAUUAGAUACCCGUGUAGUC